GACGAACGCUGGCGGCGUGCCUAAUACAUGCAAGUAGAACGCUGAAGAGAGGAGCUUGCUCUUCUUGGAUGAGUUGCGAACGGGUGAGUAACGCGUAGGUAACCUGCCUUGUAGCGGGGGAUAACUAUUGGAAACGAUAGCUAAUACCGCAUAACAAUGAAUGACACAUGUCAUUUAUUUGAAAGGGGCAAUUGCUCCACUACAAGAUGGACCUGCGUUGUAUUAGCUAGUAGGUGAGGUAACGGCUCACCUAGGCGACGAUACAUAGCCGACCUGAGAGGGUGAUCGGCCACACUGGGACUGAGACACGGCCCAGACUCCUACGGGAGGCAGCAGUAGGGAAUCUUCGGCAAUGGGGGCAACCCUGACCGAGCAACGCCGCGUGAGUGAAGAAGGUUUUCGGAUCGUAAAGCUCUGUUGUAAGUCAAGAACGAGUGUGAGAGUGGAAAGUUCACACUGUGACGGUAUCUUACCAGAAAGGGACGGCUAACUACGUGCC
rnacentral:rRNA from 1 species